UGAAAAGCUCUUGUUGAGGCAAUGGUAUUGGACUACUCUCAGUUGAGAAGAUGAACCAGGAUAAUCUUUGUGUGUCGCUAGCAUUUACUUCCUAGAAUCUUUAUUUCCGCUGCUACAUCUGUUUCUGAUAUCUAACUUCUUGGUUCAGAAGUGAAAUGAAUUUUUGGACAUACACAAUUCAACCCCCUUUCUUGUGUAUUUUUCUCACCUU
rnacentral:lncRNA from 1 species